UGCAAUAUACCAUCUAAAGGAUUUCUGAGAAGAUCAAGUGUGCUUCACCACUGAUGAUGAUGAGCUGGAUACCAUCUUAUGUGCUAAUUUCUUUCAAGGACGGGACCAGAUGUGUUUGGAGUUGAAGACAAUGCUGAAGACCAAAGAAGAAACGGAAGAAGCACAUUAAAGCACUGAGGGUGUCCAGCCUGUUUGCCAUGUCAGAUCCAAGCGGCUAGAUGGCGGGAGAUGCUUCAUUAUACCCCUGAUUGCCUUUAAUUAUUAGUUGAUCGAUUAAUUAAUUUUAAUAUAUAUUUUUAAAUUAUCCUAUUAUAUUAAAUAAUUGGUCUCCGAUAACUAUUUCAUAUAUUAGCUCGAAUAAUAAUGUUUUUAUAAUGUGUACGCCAUGCCCGAGGAGGAUGGGUUCCCCCUGAUGAGUCUGGUUCCUCUCAAGGUUUUUUAUCUCCUUAAGAGUUUUUUCCUUGCCACCGUCGCCACUGGCUUGCUCACUGGGGGUGUUGUGUCAAAUCCUGUGUCCCUCUCGCGUCUCUGCCGACCAGGGUUUCCAAAAACAACAGUUUGCGACUCAAUUCAUAACUUUUUAUUAAAUCAUAGAAAUUUAAACAAAUAAAAGUGAAAUCAUGUUAUGGCUUAGUCACUUACGGUAAAUCAGUAAGCCCUGUGAUGCUGUGAUUAACAGUGCUUUUCAGAACUGCUAAGGGGUGUUGUGGUUUUCUGAAAUCACAGGGCUUAUGUAUGGGCUUAUGCCCUUUAUAAACACUUGUGCAGUAAUAGACGCAAUCAUGGACGGUAAUUGAGUAUUUUACAAUGGCUUUAAAUGCAACAUGCACAAGGUUCACUUUAUUAAUACAAUAAUUCAAACACUUUCAUCACCAUUCUGCCAAAAUAGAAACUUGACUGUAAAUUUUUUAUUAUUGCGACAGUAAGAUAUUAGUUUUUUACUUUCAUAAUUUUAUACGUUUAAUAUGAAGUUAAAAUAAUAUUUAUACGUGAGCUAGUAUGACAUUUAUAAGGUGGGAUUUGGCACAACAGGCGUUUUCUAAAACUUUUAAUAAACAUUUUGGUUGAAUUGGCACAUCAAGUGUUUUUGUCUUUAUUGAAUCUUCUUCAAUGGCACAUUUAAUGUGUUCUUGUGAACUUCACAGAAGGUCCAGGGGUUUUUCCAGAAAGCAAGGUUAACUUACUGUCACAUAUACUCUCAGUAGAUUGACCCAAACC